UUUCAUAUGAAUGGUAUAGGUGCCCUUCGGGGCUUAAUAGGGAAGUUCGGUUCAAAGCCGGCGCGGUCCCGCCACUGUAAUGAGGAGUGAACCCAUGGUUAUGCCACUGAGACGACAGUCUUGGGAAGGUAUGGGCAAGCAAUGAUUCAGAGUCAGGAGAACUGCCUAUAUAGCAAUCACCGUU
rnacentral:ncRNA from 15 species